rnacentral:rRNA from 1 species
UACGUAGGGUGCAAGCGUUGUCCGGAAUUAUUGGGCGUAAAGAGCUCGUAGGCGGUUCGUCGCGUCGGCUGUGAAAUCCCGAGGCUCAACCUCGGGUCUGCAGUCGAUACGGGCGGACUGGAGUUCGGCAGGGGAGACUGGAAUUCCUGGUGUAGCGGUGAAAUGCGCAGAUAUCAGGAGGAACACCGGUGGCGAAGGCGGGUCUCUGGGCCGAUACUGACGCUGAGGAGCGAAAGCGUGGGGGAGCGAACAGG